rnacentral:SRP_RNA from 1 species
GCCAGGCAUAGUGGCUUAUGCCUGUAGUCCCAGCACUUUGGGAGGCCGAGGUGGGAGGAUCACUUGAGCCUAGGAGUUCAAAACCAGCCUAGGCAACAUGGUGGGACCCCAUCUCUA